CAAAACUUAGAAGGCUUGAGGUUGCUGUGCUUGGAAAGCAGAAGAAUUGCCUAGCACAAUGUAUAAUGCUCUUCGAAAAGUGAAUAAAUUAUAGAAAAGGUGUCUGAUGCAAGUUUUUCCAGCUAAGAAGAAUAGAGUACCGUGGAGAACAGGGAGAAGGAGAGGCCAAACAUAGAGGAUGAGAGAAUUUGAACUAUCAGCAGGAGUCUCUCUUAUGAUUGCUCCCAACAUCUCUGGGCCCAAAGAGAGCAACAGAGAAGCCUAAUAUCCAUGCAGGAGCAAUCAGUAAAGGCUGGCAAAGACACCCAGCCCCUGUCUAGUAGUGACCCUCAAGAAAAUCCCUCUCAGCCUCCGCAGGAGAAUAGCUCCAGGGAGUCAUGCUCUAUUUGCUUAAUGGAAUAUGAAAUUAGAGACCUGCGGAUGGGCACUCCCUAUUCACCAUGUAUUUCAUGCUACCUGCAUAACAAGAUGGAUGCUAGAGAAUGAGACUUGUCUGCUUUGCUUUAGAAUAACUCCUCGGAACAAUGACUUUGUCCCACAUGAAGGCGUAGAAGGGAGAAUUAUAUAUUCUGGACCAUCGUACACCCUCACACAGUAUGGCAAUAUUUAUAUACUCAUUUUAUAGGUUGAACUUGAUAGACUUCUGUCUUCUUUCAACCUCAUCUACUAUGUUAGGCAUUGUAAUGGGUUAGGUCAUACCUGAGGACACAGAUUGCUUAAUGGAAUAUGACAUUUGAGACCUGCGGAUGUCCAGGUUUUUUGCUUUCUUUGGACCAACAGAUUGAAUGAAAAUGAAAUAAAUAAACAGAGCAUGACUUUAAAA